CUCUCAUUAGCAGUUUCCCCAUGGUAAUCCAAAGAGACAUCACCAUUCCGGUGCAGCCCAGCGUGGGUCAUUUCCAUGAAACAGCAGAAUUCAUUACGAAUGAGCACCAGAGAAAUCUGCGGCAGGCAGAAGAUAGAGAAUAAGUCCCGGAAUCUAAGCACAGAACAGCACCUUCCAUAGGCUCUGAAAUGAAGAUGAAAGGGAAUUGCAGCUCAUCGACUGAUUUGCAAAGAGCUUCACAUGCUCCCAGGCAGGAUCGUGUAGCAGCUCUGAAAUCAAUGAGGCAUUUGCCAUUUCCCUCUCACCUUGCCCACCUGUGGAUUGGCACAGGCCCAUGGCUCAGGAUUUAUGCCUGUGGAUUUCUUCCUGCUUGAACAUGAAAGCAAAUGCCACUUUGGCUCAUCUUCACUCGAAGAAGGAGAGGGGGCAGGGAAACCUCCGAUGUCAUAGAAUAUCCCGAGUUGGAAGGGACCCAUAAGGAUCAUGUCCAUACAGUUGGGUCCCUCUGGAAAAGCAGCAUGACCCUUUGGCAUAUCUGCACUUGCACAGGAAUCCAAAAAGUUUCACCAACAUAACAGGUAUGUGCUGAUCCCCAGACUAACUUUGCUGAUGGAAAAUAUCCUAUUUCUACAAAGGAAACCUCUUCAACCAAGCUGCUAAGCUGCAACUGGAAAACCAAUAAUAAAUGAACCACGGCAAGUCAGUGCAGAGAUGAUAGGGCCAAGGGCUUUUCCUGAGCAGGUCAUCCUUGCUGCAGCUCUUAGGGAUGUCUUCAGCCACAUUUAAUUCACGCUCCCCGUGUGGGGCUGAGAUCUGUGACUCUAAUUAGUUAAUUUAGAGAAAGAAUUUCUUUCAUUAGGUUCCCUUAUUAUUCAUUCCUGAUUUUUUUUUUUUUUCAGAGGGGGGAAGCAGUGGUUUUAAUUUUGUAAGACAUUUAUCUGCGGGGAAGCACAGGGGAGAGGCAGCUUGGGUACAGCCUGUGAUGUUGGAUGGAGUUUUAAAAUCACAGCUCUGUGUGCAACAAGUCACAGAGAAGAAGCUUCCCUUUGCAAUAAAGAGCUUUUCUACCACAUGGCUCUGCCCGAGCCAGAAGUGUCAGAGAUGCCUGUAUAUGCUCCUGCCUAUAUGGACCUGGUCAGGUUGUUAGGAUGCCUCUGCCACACACCGAGAGCAGGAGCAGAGGGGGACAGCAGUCUCUGGCUUCUCUGUCUAUGAGCGUUGCUGCCCUCUCCUGGCUUCAAUGCAGAUAAGACAGGGGGAAAUCAACUUGGGAAGGACUAGGGUGCCAGCAGGGUAUGCAGGGAUGCAAGGCAGAAGGGGAGAUGCCCAGCCUGAUGCUGAUUUGGGAGGAGCAGCCUCAUCUGUGCUUCCUGCAGAUGCUCACCCCAAAUCAUCACAUCCACUGGUUUCCUGCUGAUCAGCUCUUGCUUCCCAGAAGCAAGAUCUGCAGAGAUGGCAGGAUCUGUCUGCAGAGGUCUCCUGGGCUUCUCUGGGAUGUGGGAACAGGGCUGCAGGUGAUUCCUCUUGAAGGCUGGACUUUCACCUUGAAAACAGGAUGAUUUUUGCACUGCUUCUAAGAAGUGGGGCUUCAUAAUGAUCUCACAACCAUAGAAUCAUAGAAUCAUUUAUAUUGGAAAAGACCUCUAAGAUCAUCUGGUCAAACCU